ensembl:lncRNA
AUGAAGAGUAACAACUCCAUGAUUCAGCCCCCUCUUCUCAGUGAUGUUGAUCCUCAGAGAGCAUCAUCUCCAGGAUUCAGCUGUGUCUCUAUGAAGAGUAACAACUCCAUGAUUCAGCCCCCUCUUCUCAGUGAUGUUGACCCUCAGAGAGCAUCAUCUCCAGGAUUCAGCUGUGUGUCUAUGAAGAGUAACAACUCCAUGAUUCAGCCCCCUCUUCUCAGUGAUGUUGACCCUCAGAGAGCAUCAUCUUCAGGAUUCAGCUGUGUCUCUAUGAAGAGUAACAACUCCAUGAUUCAGCCCCCUCUUCUCAGUGAUGUUGACCCUCAGAGAGCAUCAUCUUCAGGAUUCAGCUGUGUGUCUAUGAAGAGUAACAACUCCAUGAUUCAGCCCCCUCUUCUCAGUGAUGGAGCUGCUGUGACUUCUGACUCUCUGUAAGUAUCAUGUAGUUCUGGGCACAGACUCUGUUGGUGCCCUAGAUUAAAUAUUAUAUUGGUGCAAUACCCCUACAAUCUAAAAAAACUGACAGGGAGUGUGUUUGUGUGUGUGUGUGUGUGUGUGUGUGUUUUACUACUGAAUUUAUACCGGAAACAAACAAUGCUUUUUAAUCAAUCAAUAUGACAAUCAAUCAUACAGCAAUAAUCAAUAAUUUAAUAGUAUUAUAUAGCACACACUAUUAAGUAAUUGAUCCAAGAUAAUAAAUGAUAAAUAAUACAUUUGCCCAACAACAAACAAUCUGCUCCAAAAUGGACACAAAUUGGGACGUCGAAACACACACACAGACAGACACAUGUUGGCACUUCUGCCUACCCUUCAUAGAAAGCGUUUUUAUCUGUGUUUACAUUUCUACAAAACAUUGAUUUAGAUUUUUUUAUACUCGUAAUGUAGUUAUGUGUAAUGUGUAUUUCAAAGAAAGUUUGAAGGUGUAUAACUGGCGACUGUUCCUUCGGCACGGUCACAUGUCUAUUAUAUUCCUAAACAACUCCUGCUCAUUCGCCAUUAGAUAAAACAUAGGCAAUAUAUUUUUCCUUCAAGGUUGAGCUGCAGCAUGUCACUGGAACAGAACAAUUCAUUCACAUGGAGCAAAGCAUACAUGAUUCAAUGUCAGAGUUUAACAUAUAGCAAUAAAUGGUGCUGUUAAAAUAAAAAAGAAUAAUAACCAUUAAGCAUAUGUAAGAGUUAGUGGAUAAAGGGGUUGUCUUCAUGUCUCAUACAGCUAUCACGAGAACCACAUAAAAAAAUAAGAACAAAGUUCAAACUGAUAAUCUAUAAAAGGCAGUAUUUUAUUUUAUAAUGAUUCAGAUGAGCUAAAUAUUUAUUCUCAGGAAGCCAGGCUAAAUGAGUAAACACUGUUCCUGCAUUCCGGUCAGACUCAAAGACACCAAAUACAGACAUUGCUUAUAACAACAAAUACAAGAAUAGACACACUAGUUUUAAGAAAACUAUGAUUACAUAUUAAUUUUAUAAUAGAAGAGCAGGGGAUUGGAAAUCAGCCCCUUCACGUCAAAACAGGCAAGUCUUUUUAACUCAACUGCAGUGAAUCAGGUUUUGUCAGUAUCUUCGGGUUUAGGAAUUUGUGGUGCAUGAGCUCAUAGACUAAUUACUAAUAUAUAUAUAUAUAUAUAUAUAUAUAUAUAUAUAUAUAUAUAUAUAUAUGAAGAGUUCAGAUGCAAAAACCAGACUAUUUCAAGACUAUUGAGG